AAAAAUAACUUUUUUACUCUGUUUUUGUAUUACCUGUAUUGAAGAAAUGUUGAAAAUGAUUCUUGUUCUUUUCAUUGAAUAGGAUCUCACUAUUCUAUCUUGUGGAAGAAACUACAGACAUUCCCACAAACUGUAAGAGAGGAACAGCUUUGUGACAGAAUUCCUACGGCUUUGAAGAUGCAAAUAAAAACCUUUUUUAAAGCAGCAGUUAAGCUGAUUUCCAAGAAAAAUGCCAUCACCUCUGUUCCAUUGAGCUUUAUGUUGUUGGGUUUGCAGGCUUUGCUUGAUGUCCAGUUCGCAUGCCCAUGCAAAGUUAAGUGGAAUGCACUUAUAUCAGGUUUCCUCUUCAUUGUUCCAAGUCUCUUUGCUUUUGUCAUAAUGAUCAUGCUUUUGAGGCCUUGUAAAUAUAAAUGCAGCCGUUCUCAAAGACAGAACAGUGGUGGAAGAAUGCAAGGUCAGGACAACAAUGAAGCCUCUCAAGAACAAGAUAAAAGUGGACAAUCUCAAGAACAGGACAAAAGUGCAAUAUAUCAGUCUGAAGAAACGAUGCAGAGUUUUGAGACCGUUUUGAUGGCCUGUCUGAUUCCACCGAUUGUGUGGAUCUGUAUAUUUUUAAUUGAUGGUGAUUAUCUUGCAUGUGGACUCACAGACUGGAAUGGACAGUAUGCCUGUGAUAAGGACCUGCAUCCGAUUUGUGUGAACUGGUGCAAACCUACUGAAUUAAACCAAGGAGGAAAUGAGACCGAUCUAUAUGAACGAACACGAGAGCUGAUUGAUCAAUCAAAGUGUAUAGGUUAUAGCCUGGCAUUUGUCUUCUGCAUUAUAGCCAUUAUUAUUGUGACUGCUAACGACUGCAACAGAGGUCGCAAUUCGGCCUGCUGCAGAAAUGCAGCUCCAGAAAAUGAAGGUGAGGUACGGCGUGAUCUGUUGGCAGACUUACACAAGAAACAAAGUGUGCAACAUGAGAUGGGCAAGCUUCAAGAUGACGGCUCCCGACACAGACAUCCAAGUCAAGUUGUAGAAAUAGAAGAAAAAGUUUAA
ensembl:lncRNA